UACAGAGGUCCCAAGCGUUGUUCGGAUUCACUGGGCGUAAAGGGUGCGUAGGUGGUUAGGUAAGUCUGAUGUGAAAUCUCUGGGCUCAACCCAGAAACUGCAUUGGAUACUAUCUAGCUAGAGGAGUGGAGGGGGGACUGGAAUACUUGGUGUAGCAGUGAAAUGCGUAGAUAUCAAGUGGAACACCAGUGGCGAAGGCGAGUCCCUGGACACUUCCUGACGCUCAGGCGCGAUAGCGUGGGGAUCAAACAGG
rnacentral:rRNA from 1 species